GCGAAGCCGCGAAUGGCUCAUUAAAUCAGUUAUGGUUCCUUGGAUCGUACUUUACUACUUGGAUAACUGUGGCAAUUCUAGAGCUAAUACAUGCAGCAGAGCUCCGACCUUCGGGGACGAGCGCUUUUAUUAGACCAAAACCAAUCGGGCCUCGUGUCCGUUGAACGUGGUGACUCUGUAUAACUUUGGGCUGAUCGCACGGGCUCGUCCCGGCGACGUAUCUUUCAAGUGUCUGCCUUAUCAACUGUCGAUGGUAGGUUACGCGCCUACCAUGGUCGUAACGGGUGACGGGGAAUCAGGGUUCGAUUCCGGAGAGGGAGCCUGAGAAACGGCUACCACAUCCAAGGAAGGCAGCAGGCGCGCAAAUUACCCACUCCCGGCACGGGGAGGUAGUGACGAAAAAUAACAAUACGGGACUCUUUUGAGACCCCGUAAUUGGAAUGAGUACACUCUAAAUCCUUUAACGAUUAACCAUUGGAGGGCAAGUCCAGUGCCAGCAGCCGCGGUAAUUCUGGCUCCAAUAGCGUAUAUUAAAGUUGUUGCGGUUAAAAAGCUCGUAGUUGGAUCUCAGUUCUAGACGGGCGGUCCGCCUACCGGCGGUCACUGCCCGUUCUGAACAGGCCAGCCGGUUUCCCCUGAUGAUCUUCACCGGUUGUCUCGGGUGACCGGCAAGUUUACUUUGAAUAAAUUAGAGUGCUCAAAGCAGGCGCGACGCCUGAAUAAUGGUGCAUGGAAUAAUGGAAUAGGACCUCGGUUCUAUUUUGUUGGUUUUCGGAACACGAGGUAAUGAUUAAGAGGGACAGACGGGGGCAUUCGUAUUGCGACGCUAGAGGUGAAAUUCUUGGACCGUCGCAAGACGAACUACUGCGAAAGCAUUUGCCAAGAAUGUUUCCAUUAAUCAAGAACGAAAGUUAGAGGUUCGAAGGCGAUCAGAUACCGCCCUAGUUCUAACCAUAAACGAUGCCAGCCAGCGAUCCGGCUGUGUUCCUCAAAUGACACGCCGGGCAGCUUCCGUGAAACCAAAGUGCGGGUAAACUCACCCGGCCCGGACACAGGAAGGAUUGACAGAUUGAGAGCUCUUUCUUGAUUCUGUGGGUGGUGGUGCAUGGCCGCUCUUAGUUGGUGGAGCGAUUUGUCUGGUUUAUUCCGAUAACGAACGAGACUCUAGCCUACUAAAUAGACGUUCCGAUCCUCCGAGUCGGACGUUCUUCUUAGAGGGACGGGCGGCGACUAGCCGCACGAAACAGAGCAAUAGCAGGUCUGUGAUGCCCUUUGAUGUCCGGGGCCGCACGCGCGCUACAUUGAAGGAAUCAGCGUGUGCUUUCCCUGUCCGACAGGACUGGGUAACCCGUUGAACCUCCUUCGUGCUGGGGAUAGCAAAUUGUAAUUAUUUUGCUUGAACGAGGAACACCCAGUAAGCACGAGUCAUCAGCUCGUGCUGACUAUGUCCCUGGCCUUUGUGCACACCGCCCGUCGCUACUACCGAUUGAAUGAUUUAGUGAGGUCUUCGGACUGGCGCUCGGAUUGGCUUUCGGGUCGAGCCGACGUGCCGGAAAGAUGACCAAACUUGAUCAUUUAGAGGAAGUAAAAGUCGUAACAAGGUUACUGUAGGUGAACCUGCG
rnacentral:rRNA from 1 species